AACAAAUGACUCCUUAGAGGGUUAUUGAGAAAUCAUCACCAUGUGUUGGUGAAAUUAUUGUGAUUUGAAUUUUCAAAAUAAAGUGUUACUUGGCAAAAAGAAAACAGCAUUAAACAACAACAUACUUUUGAUGGGAAUUUGAGAUUCGUAUCAGAUGUACUUUCAUCACAAGCACAUUUUACGCUUGGACUCUUACUUGCAUAUAUAUUAAUAACACUAAAGAUUAGGUCAUUUGUGUGGUGGAAGCUGCAGAAAAGUUCUUUUUGACAGCCAGCUUUAAAAUGUCACUUACUUAUAUUUUUACUUCUCUUCCUCAGGUGGCAUCACAUUGAAUCACUGUUGAAUGGUGGAGUGACAAUCACUGUAAACUUUUGGUACAAAGGUGCGCCCACACCCAAGAGGAUAGAGUACCCUCUGCGUGCUCAUCAGAAGGUGGCCAUUAUGAGGAACAUUGAGAAGAUGCUGGGAGAAGCACUUGGAGACCCACAUGAAGUUGGACCUUUACUGAAAACGAUGAUCAAGGGGCGAUAUGACCAGGAUCUGAGCUAGAGCCCCACCCUUAAAACUGGUAAAUAGAACUGCUUUGGAAAACUGUAUGCGUGUGAAAGUGAGACUGCAGCGUGUGUAAUGCGCAUCCUGACUUUUGGAGCUACGAAUCACUGCAUGGGAAUUAGCGGCCAUCUUGAAACCAUUCUGCUUCAGUCGUCUCUGAGUGCCAUUGUCCUCGCAAAUACCACAAUUACAGAAGAAACAUCUGACUAACUCAUGGGAAUUCGCCAUACUUGAAGAGGUCUUUUUUUCUCUCUUUUGGCUCAAGUCUAGAUUAUAUUUAUGUGAUUCAGUGUUCUCAUAAGUUAAUGGGUGUUUGGGUGUAUUUGCUCACCCAGUCGGUAAAUGUGUAAGAUUGGUACCUUUGUAGCAACCUCAAUAUUUUGACCACUAAUAGAUGAGUUAAGGGGUAUUAUAUAUAUAUAUAUAUAUAUAUAUAUAUAUACAGUAGACAUAAGUUAAUUACAGGACAUUUCUUAUAUUCAUGUAAGAAAAGAAAGCUAAUUUGGUUCAUACCUGUAAAGAUGACAGGUCUUUUAAGUGUCUUUGGAAUAUUUCUCUACAUAAUCUACAUUAUCUCUAAGCCUACUAAUGACAUGGUUUCAGGGAGUGAUCAAGAAUUUUCUGUUGCAACGAAGACAGCAUGGGCCCAGUACUAAAAGUUAGAGGAUGCAGUGAUUAAAAACAGUGAUGAAAUAUUAUCAAAAAUAUGUGUGGGCGUGCAAGAAAAGGGGGCUCAUAUAUUCAACUGAAGGAAUAUGUAAUGGCUUGCAGCUAAAUUAUUUUAGCAGAGGGAUUGCUUUGUGGUUUGUUUAUGCUCUUGCUUGUUUGAUUUAUAUUUCAAAGACUUUAUUGGAUGUGUUAUCCUGCGUACCAGUAAUAGGUCAGGGAGUGUUGACAAUGAAUCACAUACUGUAAAUUAGUUGCAAAUACAGUUAACUUUAAGAAUCAGUAGAAAAUACAGGAAGUUACUGUUUUUUGGGGAGACUUCUCAGAGUAUUAACAGGUAGUGUUUUGUUGAGAAUAUGAUGGUUAAAACAGCCAUGAGUGUAAGACUGGUUUGAAGUGAGUGGCUUGAAUGAUUGAUUUAUGUUAAAAUGUUAGUAACUGACUGAACUAGCAGGGCCAUCUGCUGGAAAGAAGCGUAUGUAUCAGCCAUUGCAGUGCAACACAAAUGCACCAUCUAGUGUUUCAAAUUUGCAGUUGCAUGUUAAGCUUGAUGUAUCUUGGUCCAUACACUAUACUUCUACAAUACAAAUAUUCAGUAUGUUGUGUUAAAUGUAGAUUAAAUUACGCUGCAAUGUGUACAAAAGUCUAAUUCCAGUUGAAAACCUGUACUUGCUGUAAUGAUUACUAUAGGUUAACAAGCCUCAGAAAUGCACUUGUUUUUACUUUCAAGCAGCCAUAUUUUGAAGACCUUGAAAUGAGAGCAACUCGAAAGAUGGCUGUUGCCAUGCAAGUUCUCUCUCAAGCAGUUGUAAAAAAAAAAAGUACAUUCAGCAUAAGGGGAGGGUACUUUCAUACGAUGUGUUGUAUGUGACAAACCAACAUACAAACCAGUAGAUGGGUAUGUUCAUAUUCAGAUGGCUUUGUUUGCCUGUGACAUUGGAUGAAUCAGUGAGUGGUGUACUGUAAAAUAGCCACACCAAAGCACCUAAUUCGCCAGGAAUACACAGGUUUUCAAGGGUUUUGUUUUGUCUGAUGAAAAUAAUACUUUUUCAUUGCUGAUAAUGUGCAUAAGUAUUUCUUAAAACUGCACGAUGAUCGAACAGUGCUACUUUCUCUGUAAAAGAACUCACCGUAAUAUGUAAAACUGAUGUUUCAUCUCUUUUCUAUUGCUAGAUUAACCCUGUUUACUGUAUGUGCCUUGCUUGCGUUGGUAUGGCACUAAAUGUCGCAAGAACUUGAUUUUUUUUAAACCUUUAUUUUGUGGUCAAAAUGUUUGUUUUCACUCUGGCAUUAAUCAGCUUUAAAGGUGAGAAGAAGGGGCUCAUAGAGCUAGAGGAAUGUUUUUACUGAUGGAUGCUGGUUUUCUGUUUUGAACAUACAGUAUGUGCUCACCUUGUUCCUCUGAUAAAGUUUGUUUGCAAAGUUC